rnacentral:rRNA from 1 species
AAAUAAGAAGGUCCCGCCCUGCCCAGUGACUAUAUGGUUUAACGGCCGCGGUUAUUUUGACCGUGCGAAGGUAGCGCAAUCACUUGUCUUUUAAAUGAAGACCUGAUAUGAAUGGCACAACAAGGGCUUUACUGUCUCCUUCCUCCAGUCAGUGAAAUUGAUCUCCCCGUGCAGAAGCGGGGUAUCUAGCACAUAAAACGAGAAGACCCUAUGGAGCUUUAAACACCAAGAGCAUAUCAUGUUAAAAACUCUGAAUAAAGACCAAACUGUAUGAACUCUGCCCCAAUGUCUUUGGUUGGGGCGACCCUGGGGAACAACAAAACCCCCAUGAAAACAGGAGAGAACACUUUUUUCUCCUGCAAAUAAGAACAACAAUUCUAAUUAACAGAACCUCUGACUUACAAGAUCCGGCCCUGCCGAUCAACGGACCGAGUUACCCUAGGGAUAACAGCGCAAUCCUCUUUUAGAGCCCAUAUCGACAAGAGGGUUUACGACCUCGAUGUUGGAUCACGACAUCCUAAUGGUGCAACCGCUAUUAGGGGUUCGUUUGUUCAACGAUUAACAGUCCUACGUGAUCUGAGUUCAGACCGGCUGAGUUCAGACCGGA